rnacentral:tRNA from 1 species
AAUUCCAUGGUGUAAUGGUUAGCACUCUGGAUUCUGAAUCCAGCGAUCCGAGUUCAAAUCUUGGUGGAAAAU